AUGCAUCACCAAGUGUCUGUGCUAGGAUCAGGCCGGGAGAAGAACAUGCCUUCGUGCUGUAUCAAAGGGGGAAAACUGUGCUCCAGAAGCGCAUUUUGCUUCUGCAGUGAAGUUUUCAUCUGUGAUAGCAGGAGAGGGAUCACUGGGAGGAGCCGGGAAGCAGCCGGGGCUGCCUUCACCCAACAACUGCCGGAGGAGCCGUCGGGAAAACUUUCCCUGAGAUGUGAAACGCUGCAGAGCUCAGGGCCGAGCCCGCACACCCCGGUGUGCCCCUCUGCCAUGGGCAGAAUCGGGGGACUCCAUGGGGGUGUCCAGAGCCCGGAGAGCCAGGAAACACCGCCAGGAGCAACGUGGGAGUGUGGGGCUUGGAACCUCGUCAAGCACAGAGUGUCAGUCGUGCACACUGAAGAACUCACACACAUCUCCCACCCCUCCCACCUCCCAGCUCCCCCUCACCUCUCGAACCCCCAAACCCGCAAAAUACAGAGAAACACCCCUCAAAACAUUUGUGCCCGCUCGCCUACACACCCCGCAGGCCCCCAAAACACUGUCCCCAUCACCCCACCCACCCCCCGGACUCUCAUGCCCAUGAAGUCCUGUGUCCCCCUCCCAGCCUCUCCCCGCUCCACACAGCCCCAUGCUGUCCCCCCGCAGCUCUCCCCGUGCUCCCCCCGGCUCUCCCCGUGCUCCCCCCGGUUCUCCCCCCGGUUCCCCCCGGCUCUCCCCCCGUUCAGCACCAUGGACAGAUCCCUGCCCGCUCCAUCACGUGGCUCCCGCCGCCCGUUUAUAGCGCGGGGCGCGGGCGGAGCGGCGCGUCCGGGAGGAGCGCAGCGAGCGGAGCGCCCGACAGCGGUGAGACUCGCACGGGCACCGGGACGGGCACCGGGACGGGCACCGGGACGGGCACCGGGACGGGCACCGGGACGGGCACCGCCACCCCCCGGGAGCCCCGGCACGAGUGAGGGGGAGGCCGAGCACGGGGACGAGAAGAGGAGAGGAGCACUGGUCCCGAGGAGAGGAGGGUCCUAUCCCGGGGUGUGGGGGAAGUGUUCCGUAGCGGGGGUCCCAGGUUCUGGAGGGUCCCAUCCCUGCUGCUGA
rnacentral:lncRNA from 1 species